CAUUAUCGAAUAAAACUUGAACAGGUUGUUGCUGGCUCCUUGGGGCAYGUGCACACUUGUCAUUUUUGUUUCAUUUCUCCUCUGUGCACCAACUGUAGGUCUGGAGUUUCUUGAAAUCCUUUGGUUUUUCGAUAGAGGACUGCUGUUUCAAAAAAAGGAUCAGCUUUGCCUCACAUCUUCCAGAUCUAUGUUUUUACAAUCUCUCAAUGUGUUUUGGAAUGUCAAGUUGAUAUAUACAAUAUACAACUUUCAGCAACGGAUCUCUUGGCUCUCGCAUCGAUGAAGAACGCAGCGAAAUGCGAUAAGUAAUGUGAAUUGCAGAAUUCAGUGAAUCAUCGAAUCUUUGAACGCAUCUUGCGCUCCUUGGUAUUCUGAGGAGCAUGCCUGUUUGAGUGUCAUCAAGUUCUCAACCACAUUGAUUUGCUCUGAUGUGGAUUGGACAUGGGAUUUUGCAGGCCUUUUUUUAAAAAAGGUCUGCUCUCCUAAAAUACAUUAGUGGUAUCUGAGCAGAGACUACGUACGGGUGUGAUAACUAUCUAUGCCUACUGUAGAAUGCUGUAUGAACUGCUUCAAACCCCCUUUUUCUUUUUGACCAGUUUGACCUCAAAUCAGGUAGGACUACCCGCUGAACUUAA
rnacentral:rRNA from 1 species